GGAAUAUAAGAAACCAUCUCUUAACUUUUAACUAAAAAAGUUAAGAACCGACUCUUAAAUAAACAUAUUUUUUUGGUUCUUAUUUAAGAGUCGGUUCUUAACUUUUUUAGUUAAAAAUUAAGAAACAGUUUCUUAUAUUCC
rnacentral:pre_miRNA from 1 species